rnacentral:ncRNA from 2 species
AAGAGAUAAGUGCUGAAAGCAUCUAAGCACGAAACUUGCCCCGAGAUGAGUUCUCCCUGACUCCUUGAGAGUCCUGAAGGAACGUUGAAGACGACGACGUUGAUAGGCCGGGUGUGUAAGCGCAGCGAUGCGUUGAGCUAACCGGUACUAAUGAACCGUGAGGCUUAACCUU